UACGUAGGGUGCAAGCGUUAAUCGGAAUUACUGGGCGUAAAGCGUGCGCAGGCGGUUGUGCAAGACAGAUGUGAAAUCCCCGGGCUCAACCUGGGAAUUGCAUUUGUGACUGCACGGCUAGAGUGUGUCAGAGGGGGGGUAGAAUUCCACGUGUAGCAGUGAAAUGCGUAGAGAUGUGGAGGAAUACCGAUGGCGAAGGCAGCCCCCCUGGGGAUAACACUGACGCUCAUGCACGAAAGCGUGGGGGAGCAAACAGG
rnacentral:rRNA from 1 species